CUGAUUUGUGCUGGUGUUAAGUGCUGUGGUCCUGAUUGUAAAGAUCCUAUGGCUGCUGCAGAAAAUCAGUUUGAGACCUCAUCAGUGGAGGACAUUGCCUAGAAGUUCACUGACACGCUUCACAUAUGGUGGUGAAUGAUUCCAACUUCGAUGAAGCACAGAAAUAUGAUCCGCAUUAAAAGCUACUAAGUCCUGCCACUUGGAAAUCCAAAAUCACUUUGUUGCUCAUGUCCUAUUUCUGAAUAUUUGCUCCAUUGGAGGGUGAGCAAUUGUAUGGAACACCGGGUUCAUGGGGUGGAGAGCAACUGCAUAUAUGACACAUCAUGAGGUUCCACUGCCAGAUGAUGAGCAGUGAUUUGCAAGUCUCAAAGCAGGCUGGGGAUCGGAAUUGUACUAUAUGAUCCUGUCACCAACUGAAACCCCUCAUGGUGAACAGCAUCAGUGCU